CCUGUCACUGAGUUGCUUGAUCAUGGGUCAUAUGUGCCACUAGGCCCAUCACAAAAGAUUCUUAUAGCUGCUGCAUGCAUCAGUGGUAAAUCCAAAGUACAGCUGUCUGUUCGAAUGCAGUUUUGGUUUUUCAAUCCCAGUGGCAUCAAUGAA